rnacentral:rRNA from 1 species
GACGAACGCUGGCGGCGUGCUUAACACAUGCAAGUCGAGCGGAAAGGCCACUUCGGUGGUACUCGAGCGGCGAACGGGUGAGUAACACGUGAGUAAUCUGCCCUUCACUCUGGGAUAGCCACCGGAAACGGUGAUUAAUAUCGGAUACGACCAUUCCCCGCAUGGGGUGGUGGAAACUUUUUUGGGUGGGGGAUGUGCUCGCGGCCUAUCAGCUUGUUGGUGGGGUAAUGGCCUACCAAGGCUUGGACGGGUAGCCGGCCUGAGAGGGUGACCGGCGACACUGAGACUGAGAAACGGCCCAGACUCCUACGGGAGGCAGCAGUGGGGAAUAUUGGACAAUGGGCGGAAGCCUGAUCCAGCAACGCCGCGUGAGGGAGGACUGCCUUCGGGUUGUAAACCUCUUUCAGCACCGACGAAGCGCAAGUGACGGUAGGUGCAGAAGAAGGACCGGCCAACUACGUGCCAGCCGCCGCAGUAAUAC